AACGAACGCUGGCGGCAGGCCUAACACAUGCAAGUCGAACGCCCCCUUCGGGGGGAGUGGCGCACGGGUGAGUAACGCGUGGGAAUCUGCCCUUUGGUCUGGAAUAACCCUGGGAGACUAGGGCUAAAACCGGAUAAGCCCCGCGAGGGGGAAAGUUUACGCCGAAGGAGGAGCCCGCGUCCGAUUAGCUAGUUGGUGAGGUAAGAGCUUACCAAGGCGACGAUCGGUAGCUGGUCUGAGAGGACGAUCAGCCACACUGGGACUGAGACACGGCCCAGACUCCUGCGGGAGGCAGCAGUGGGGAAUAUUGGACAAUGGGCGCAAGCCUGAUCCAGCCAUGCCGCGUGAGUGAUGAAGGCCUUCGGGUUGUAAAGCUCUUUUGGCGGGGACGAUGAUGACGGUACCCGCAGAAUAAGCCCCGGCAAACUUCGUGCCAGCCGCCGCAGUAA
rnacentral:rRNA from 1 species